rnacentral:rRNA from 1 species
GCAGCCGCCGCGGUAAUACAGAGGGUGCGAGCGUUAAUCGGAUUUACUGGGCGUAAAGCGUGCGUAGGCGGCUAAUUGAGUCGGAUGUGAAAUCCCCGAGCUUAACUUGGGAAUUGCAUUCGAUACUGGUUAGCUAGAGUGUGGGAGAGGAUGGUAGAAUUCCAGGUGUAGCGGUGAAAUGCGUAGAGAUCUGGAGGAAUACCGAUGGCGAAGGCAGCCAUCUGGCCUAACACUGACGCUGAGGUACGAAAGCAUGGGGAGCAAACAGGAUUAGAUACCCCAGUAGUCCCUGUCUCUUAUAC